GAUGAACGCUGGCGGCGUGCCUAAUACAUGCAAGUCGAGCGAACGGACGAGAAGCUUGCUUCUCUGAUGUUAGCGGCGGACGGGUGAGUAACACGUGGAUAACCUACCUAUAAGACUGGGAUAACUUCGGGAAACCAGAGCUAAUACCGGAUAAUAUUUUGAACCGCAUGGUUCAAAAGUGAAAGACGGUCUUGCUGUCACUUAUAGAUGGAUCCGCGCUGCAUUAGCUAGUUGGUAAGGUAACGGCUUACCAAGGCAACGAUGCAUAGCCGACCUGAGAGGGUGAUCGGCCACACUGGAACUGAGACACGGUCCAGACUCCUACGGGAGGCAGCAGUAGGGAAUCUUCCGCAAUGGGCGAAAGCCUGACGGAGCAACGUCGCGUGAGUGAUGAAGGUCUUCGGAUCGUAAAACUCUGUUAUUAGGGAAGAACAUAUGUGUAAGUAACUGUGCACAUCUUGACGCUACCUAAUCAGAAAGCCACGGCUAACUACGUGCCAGCAGCCGCGGUAAUACGUAGGUGGCAAGCGUUAUCCGGAAUUAUUGGGCGUAAAGCGCGCGUAGGCGGUUUUUUAAGUCUGAUGUGAAAGCCCACGGCUCAACCGUGGAGGGUCAUUGGAAACUGGAAAACUUGAGUGCAGAAGAGGAAAGUGGAAUUCCAUGUGUAGCGGUGAAAUGCGCAGAGAUAUGGAGGAACACCAGUGGCGAAGGCGACUUUCUGGUCUGUAACUGACGCUGAUGUGCGAAAGCGUGGGGAUCAAACAGGAUUAGAUACCCUGGUAGUCCACGCCGUAAACGAUGAGUGCUAAGUGUUAGGGGGUUUCCGCCCCUUAGUGCUGCAGCUAACGCAUUAAGCACUCCGCCUGGGGAGUACGACCGCAAGGUUGAAACUCAAAGGAAUUGACGGGGACCCGCACAAGCGGUGGAGCAUGUGGUUUAAUUCGAAGCAACGCGAAGAACCUUACCAAAUCUUGACAUCCUUUGACAACUCUAGAGAUAGAGCCUUCCCCUUCGGGGGACAAAGUGACAGGUGGUGCAUGGUUGCCGUCAGCUCGUGUCGUGAGAUGUUGGGUUAAGUCCCGCAACGAGCGCAACCCUUAAGCUUAGUUGCCAUCAUUAAGUUGGGCACUCUAAGUUGACUGCCGGUGACAAACCGGAGGAAGGUGGGGAUGACGUCAAAUCAUCAUGCCCCUUAUGAUUUGGGCUACACACGUGCUACAAUGGACAAUACAAAGGGCAGCGAAACCGCGAGGUCAAGCAAAUCCCAUAAAGUUGUUCUCAGUUCGGAUUGUAGUCUGCAACUCGACUACAUGAAGCUGGAAUCGCUAGUAAUCGUAGAUCAGCAUGCUACGGUGAAUACGUUCCCGGGUCU
rnacentral:rRNA from 1 species